rnacentral:rRNA from 1 species
UACGGAGGGUGCGAGCGUUGUCCGGAAUCACUGGGCGUAAAGGGCGCGUAGGCGGCUUGGUAAGCGUGCGGUGAAAGCUUGGGGCUCAACCCCGAGUCGGCCGUGCGAACUGUCAGGCUUGAGCACUGUAGAGGCAGGCGGAAUUCCGGGUGUAGCGGUGGAAUGCGUAGAGAUCCGGAAGAACACCGGUGGCGAAGGCGGCCUGCUGGGCAGUGGCUGACGCUGAGGAGCGAAAGCGUGGGGAGCGAACAGG